CUAUGCCGCCGGCUAGUUACGAAUCCAGGAGAUAACUCGGGUAAUUUCAGGAGGCAACUAAGGGCGUUUACACGGGUCCAACAGGGACAAAGCACCACGGCAAACGUCACAUGCUCUCUCUCUCUCGCCUUCUUUCUAUAUAAACCAUCGAACUUAGCAUCUCAGCCUCUAUAUAGCUCUACAUUUCGGGAGUUACAAACAAUCUAUAUCGCAGGAGGAAGUUUUUGGAUACGCAGAGAAGCAUUUACCUAAAAAAGAUGCAGAGAUUCAUCGCUAAAAGGCUUCUCUCCGGAAGAAAUUCCAAUUCCCUUCCGUCUCCGGCUUGCUGCUUCUCUCAGCUCGCCCAGAAGGAGGACAAUGACGUUCUUAUCCCCAAAAUGCCUCCUUUUGAUUACAGUCCUCCGCCGUAUACCGGUCCCUCCGCCAACGAGAUCAUGGCCAAGCGAAAAGAG
rnacentral:misc_RNA from 1 species